AAUAAGUGCAGUUUUGCACUAUUCACGUUCAACGUUUGACCGUUUGUCUUAUUUGAAUUUUUUUAUUAUUAGUAUUUUUAUUGCUAUUAGAUGAUAAAACAUAAAUAGUACUUUAUAUGUGACUAAAUAUUUUCAAAUUUUCCGCAAAUUUUUCAAAUAAGACGGACGGUUAAACGUUGGGCACGGAUAUCCACGGCUGCACUUAUU
rfam:Oryza sativa (indica cultivar-group) chromosome 2, whole genome shotgun sequence.